rnacentral:rRNA from 1 species
UACGGGGGGGGCAAGCGUUGUUCGGAAUUACUGGGCGUAAAGCGUGCGCAGGCGGUUCGUUGUGUCGGUGGUGAAAGCCCCGGGCUUAACCUGGGAAUGGCCAUGGAAACUGGCGAACUGGAGUGUGGCAGAGGGGGGUGGAAUUCCGCGUGUAGCAGUGAAAUGCGUAGAGAUGCGGAGGAACACCGAUGGCGAAGGCAGCCCCCUGGGCUAGCACUGACGCUCAGGCACGAAAGCGUGGGGAGCAAACAGG